AUGCACGCUGGCGGCGUGCCUCAUCCAUGCAAGUCGCGCGAACAGACGAGGAGCUUGCUCCUCUGACGUUAGCGGCGGACGGGUGAGUAACACGUGGAUAACCUACCUAUAAGACUGGGAUAACUUCGGGAAACCGGAGCUAAUACCGGAUAACAUGUUGAACCGCAUGGUUCAACAGUGAAAGACGGUCUUGCUGUCGCUUAUAGAUGGAUCCGCACCGCAUUAGCUAGUUGGUAAGGUAACGGCUUACCAAGGCAACGAUGCGUAGCCGACCUGAGAGGGUGAUCGGCCACACUGGAACUGAGACACGGUCCAGACUCCUACGGGAGGCAGCAGUAGGGAAUCUUCCGCAAUGGGCGAAAGCCUGACGGAGCAACGCCGCGUGAGUGAAGAAGGUCUUCGGAUCGUAAAACUCUGUUAUUAGGGAAGAACAAAUGUGUAAGUAACUAUGCACGUCUUGACGGUACCUAAUCAGAAAGCCACGGCUAACUACGUG
rnacentral:rRNA from 1 species